rnacentral:tRNA from 2 species
GCCUUCGUAGCUCAAUUGGAUAGAGUACUAGUCUUCGGAACUAGGUGUUGUGGGUUCGAAUCCCUCCGGAGGUA